GACGAACGCUGGCGGCGUGCUUAACACAUGCAAGUCGAGCGGUAAGGCCCUUUCGGGGGUACACGAGCGGCGAACGGGUGAGUAACACGUGGGUGACCUGCCCUCAGCUCUGGGAUAAGCCUGGGAAACCGGGGUCUAAUACCGGAUAUGACUCCAUGACGCAUGUUGUGGGGUGGAAAGCCUUGUGCGGCUGAGGAUGGGCCCGCGGCCUAUCAGCUUGUUGGUGGGGNGAUGGCCUACCAAGGCGACGACGGGUAGCCGGCCUGAGAGGGCGACCGGCCACACUGGGACUGAGACACGGCCCAGACUCCUACGGGAGGCAGCAGUGGGGAAUCUUGCGCAAUGGGNGAAAGCCUGACGCAGCGACGCCGCGUGAGGGAUGACGGCCU
rnacentral:rRNA from 1 species